rnacentral:rRNA from 1 species
GUAGAUGCUAGUCUCUAAGAUUAAGCCAUGCAUGUCUAGUGAACUCUAUGAGGAAACGACGAACGGCUCAGUAAUACUGCGAUGAUUUGCCCUGGUUAAGUAGAUAACUACGGGAAACUGUAGCUAAGAGACCAGGAUAAGACGCAGACCUAUCAGCUAGUUGGUAGUGUAAUGGACUACCAAGGCUAUAACGGGUAACGGGAAAUUAGGGUUUUAUUCCGGAGAGGGAGCCUGAGAGAUGGCUCCCACGUCCAUGGACGGCAGCAGGCGCGAAAAUUGCCCACUCUUUUAAAUGAGGAGGCAGUUAUGAGACAUGAUAUAAAGAACAGACUGUAAAAAGGUUUGUGUGAUGCGAUUGGAGGGCAAGUUUGGUGCCAGCAGCCGCGG